AUUGAACGCUGGCGGCAUGCCUUACACAUGCAAGUCGAACGGUAACAGGUCUUCGGAUGCUGACGAGUGGCGAACGGGUGAGUAAUACAUCGGAACGUGCCUAGUAGUGGGGGAUAACUACUCGAAAGAGUGGCUAAUACCGCAUGAGAUCUACGGAUGAAAGCAGGGGAUCGCAAGACCUUGUGCUACUAGAGCGGCCGAUGGCAGAUUAGGUAGUUGGUGGGAUAAAAGCUUACCAGGCAGACGAUCUGUAGCUGGUCUGAGAGCACGAUCAGCCACACGGGGACUGGGACACGGCCCAGACUCCUACGGGAGGCAGCAGUGGGGAAUUUUGGACAAUGGGCGCAAGCCUGAUCCAGCAAUGCCGCGUGCAGGAUGAAGGCCUUCGGGUUGUAAACUGCUUUUGUACGGAACGAAAAGCCCCGGGUUAAUACCCUGGGGUCAUGACGGUACCGUAAGAAUAAGCACCGGCUAACUACGUGCCAGCCGCCGCCGUAA
rnacentral:rRNA from 1 species